AAGAACAUAAAACAAAAGUAUAAGAACUAAACUUAAUAUAAAUUAAACUAAUCCAUUGGCUUAUUUUGGUCAAAAGAAACAGAGAAACAAGAAAAUAUAAAAAGAAGAAUGGAAUAACGACAAAUGUUAGAGCAGUCCAACACUAUAACAUUCUAACAAGGCUAUUACUUGAGCAAAACGGAUGUUUGCACAUUUGAACUAUCAUGAACCAUUGUUCAAAAAUUUCAUUCCUUCCCCUAUUUCAUUCCUUACAUCCAAUACUAGAGUUCACAUUCCCAUUUUGAAAAGGAAUGGUCCAUUCCCACCUAUAUCCAAUUUGUUCUCAAAUCCCAUCAUAACAAUUUUGCACUUAUUUAUUUUAUUUUCAAAACUCCCUCUUACCUCUUAUAUUUUCUUUUGUGUUUGCUCAUUCCAUUCCAUUCUUACCAACCAAACACAACAUUAGUAUUCAAAAUGCAUCAACAUGUACGGACAAGGUUGUUCUAAUAAUUUCUUUUUAAAAAAAGGUUUGGAACUACGGAAUAGAUGUCCUAAAUAUUCAACAUUCAUAAAGGGUACUUCAAAAUAUAAAUUCAAGGACAAAAUAGUCAGAGUACAAACAUGCCAAUUAUUCUCUUUUCAAAACAUAGGCAUAUCAAAACCGCGCCAAAAUUCCGGAUAAUUUAAGGAAUACCUUAAUCCGAAGUCGAAUUACCAAUCUAAACUUGAUUCGACUUCUAAACAAUGCUAAUUAAAUUCAUUUAUGUUCAACAUCAAAUCUGAAAUGUCCAAGUAAAAAGAAGAUAAAUCUGACCACACCACAUGUAACACCCCCAUCUUAAAUUAAGACGAGAGGUUACCUACAAAUCCAAAAUCUGCAAACAGAGUACUAAUAUGUUCCAAACUUGAGUAAAUAGAAUCACUAACCAUAAANCUAAUCUAUUAAUAUUAAUCUNUUAUAAUCCAAUUUUAAUCCCCUUUUUAUUAAUACUAAUCUAUUAAUGUUAUUCUAAAAAUUACUGGAUAUUACAUUCUACCCUCCUUAAAAAGAAUUUGGUCCCCAAAUUCUCCCAAACCUACUCUCCAAACCCAUUUAAAACAAGACACAUAACUAAUAAUUCCCCUCUCUUAAUCAUUAUUAUUCUAUUAUUAUUAAAACUAUGUAUAUUAUAUAUAUAUACCCCCUUAAAAAGGAUUCCGUCCCCGGAAUCUAACGAAACUAAAACUCGUACUGAAACCGAAUAAGUGCGAACCUCUCACACGAAUUGAAUCUCUCCCGUCCCCGGAAUCUAACGAAACUAAAACUCGUACCUGAAUCGAAUAAGUGCGGACAUCUCACACGAAUUGAAUCUCUAAUUUCCAAGUAAACUCCUAUUCCGAUUAUCCUUCCAUAAAAGUCGAAACAACAAAUAAAAUACAUUUGAACAGAAUACCCAUCCUAAUGCGGGUCUACCCACUCUCACAGGUCAACCUAAAUAGGUCUUCUACAGGAAAGAACCUAAGCUCUGAUACCACUUUGUAACACCCCCAUCUUAAAUUAAGACGAGAGGUUACCUACAAAUCCAAAAUCUGCAAACAGAGUACUAAUAUGUUCCAAACUUGAGUAAAUAGAAUCACUAACCAUAAAUUCUUAAUAACACUAAAAGUCCAUCAUCCUAGUUCAAUUUUAAAUCCUAAUUAUAAUCCAAUUUUAAUCCCCUUUUUAUUAAUACUAAUCUAUUAAUGUUAUUCUAAAAAUUACUGGAUAUUACACCACAACAUACAUAAAUCGUUCAUACCUGAUGAGACCGGACUAACUCAACUGGAAACACAAAAAAUGUCAAAAUUACAGCUUAAAACAAUAAGAAAUUCCGCAUACAUCAAAAUAGUCAAAAAUACAGUUCAAUAUACAGCAUACAGUUCGAACCAAAACAGAUAGAUUGAUAUAUUAAUUGGCUAGAGACAAGAUAAGAAAAAACCAAAAACAGAGAGAGAG
rnacentral:lncRNA from 1 species